ensembl:lncRNA
CGCAUUUUUUUAAGCCGCCUCAUGCCAAUGACUCCUUAUAUGGCUGUGAAUGAGCUACGAAUGAGCUUACGUUUUCUACCUGUACUCCUAUGAAGCUGUGCUGGGUAUUGUGAUCAGAUAGCAGUGCUAAGAACACACACGACUCCUGGUGAGAAUCACAACAUAUUCAAACCCCCACUGGCUGCAUGCUGCAAAUGAAACUCUGCAGAACUGCUUGAGGGGCAAGAAGAAAAAGAACAACAGACAUUAUAGCUAUAUAACAGUCUUGUGGUGCUAUAGGAAACCUAAGCCUGCAUUGUCCUGUACCUGUACUCCAACGUAAGAGUUUUGUUUUCACACAGAAAACGAUUAAAACAGUCAAAAAGUAAACUUGGGGAAUAAGAUAUUUUGGUUCGUCCUAACCUCUUCGAAAUGUCUUGGUAGUAUGUGCAGCACACCUUGUCCCAAGUCAUAUCCCACUGACAGAAACACAAAGGUGCUGUUCUUUAAUAAAAACACUAAAUCUCAGACAGAACAUCUCUCUCACGCAUUACUCCUCUGUCCCUGACCCCUGACCCUUGACAGAAAAGGAAAGGGAUAUCGCAUGCAUUCUGGAGUGAAAGAACUUAAGGGAAACUUGCUUUCUGUCCCGCAGAAGAACGACAAUCACUUCUUCUCUUUUUAAGACAAACCACUAGACACAAGGGGAAAUUAAAGUGUAUCUGUCUUAUUCACUUCCUUCCAAAGCUGAGAGGGAGAGAGAGAGCAACCGUACGUCCGACUGGAUCAACGUGUGCAAAUAUAUGACUGUGUUGUGAGAAAACAAGGAGACAAGACACAGGGAGUGUUUUUGGUGAAGUAAGAGGUCUUUCACAAACUAAACUAAAAGAGGAAUCACACCAACGGCACACAUAUUGUAGACCAAUAAAGCCACUCACAUCAUGGGUGCAGAGACUUGCUAAAUCAUUCAAAUUAAACCCUGACAUAGGAAUAAAUCUGCCUUCUAUCUCUCAUCACUUUCAGAGCGGUGAAAACUAUCAGUCUAAUUUGAAUAGACAAAAGACAGAGGUGUGGCAAAAUAUCCUCCUUAACCACACUGCUUGGUAAGGACAUCCAAAUGUUCUUUGGUAUAGAUCGAAUACCUCAAAUCACCAAGGAACACCUAUCCCCAAUAAUGCAUU